AUCUGGGUAGCUCAGCUGGUUAGAGUGUGGUGCUGAUAACACCAAGACUGAAGGUUCGAUCCCCUUAUGGGAGA